rnacentral:siRNA from 1 species
AUGAAAAGGAUGUCUGCCCUGUU